rnacentral:tRNA from 1 species
GGGGCUGUAGCUCAUUGGUAGAGCACUUGCCUCGCACACUGGAGGCACUGGGUUCGAUCCUCAGCACCA